GAGCAGCUGGGCCUUCCAUCCUUUCUUUUUCACUUCCUACUUUGAACUCCUGGGCUUAAGCGAGCCUCCUGCUCCAGCCUCCUGAGUAGCUGGGACUACAGAUGGAAUGAAGAAAGACUGACUCGCCUGCGGUAACAGGGCUAAUCUGUGGUGAUCUAGCUGAAGUGCCACAUUAUUAGCACCCUGACAUGCUCCCUCCAAGGCUCCUGCUCUCCAGCAAUGCCAGACUGUCUCCAUAGCCUCCUCACUUCUCAGAUGAGAUGCUGGAAUUGGCGACUUUAGAAUGAACCGACCUACCCACCAAAGUAGGGAAUUCACAUUCUUAUAAUCAGCCGAGUUUACAACAUAAACAUUGACAGACAAAAUAAAUUUAAAACCCGAAUACAUGAAUAAAUAGAUAAAAUAA